ACGGGAGGCAGCAGUGGGGAAUAUUGCACAAUGGGGGAAGCCCUGAUGCAGCGACGCCGCGUGAACGAAGAAGUAUUUCGGUAUGUAAAGUUCUAUCAGCAGGGAAGAAAAUGACGGUACCUGACUAAGAAGCCCCGGCUAACUACGUGCCAGCAGCCGCGGUAAUACGUAGGGGGCAAGCGUUAUCCGGAUUUACUGGGUGUAAAGGGAGCGUAGACGGCAUUGCAAGUCUGAAGUGAAACUCCGGGGCUCAACCCCGGAACUGCUUUGGAAACUGCAGAGCUUGAGUACCGGAGGGGUAAGCGGAAUUCCUAGUGUAGCGGUGAAAUGCGUAGAUAUUAGGAGGAACACCAGUGGCGAAGGCGGCUUACUGGACUGUAACUGACGUUGAGGCUCGAAAGCGUGGGGAGCAAACAGGAUUAGAUACCCUGGUA
rnacentral:rRNA from 1 species